ACGCAGUAAACGAUGAUAACUAACCGUCGGCGAUAGACAGUCGGUGGCCAAGCGAAAGCGAUAAGUUAUCCACCUGGGGAGUACGUUCGCAAGAAUGAAACUCAAAGGAAUUGACGGGGGCCCGCACAAGCGGAGGAACAUGUGGUUUAAUUCGAUGAUACGCGAGGAACCUUACCCGGGCUCGAACGGCAAGUGAAGAGAUCCAGAGAUGGUGACGCCCUUCGGGGCACUUGUCGAGGUGCUGCAUGGUUGUCGUCAGCUCGUGUCGUGGGAUGUUGGCUUAAGUGCCAUAACGAGCGCAACCCUUGUCACUAGUUACCAUCAGGCAAAGCUGGGGACUCUAGUGAGACUGCCACCGCAAGGUGUGAGGAAGGCGGGGAUGACGUCAAAUCAGCACGGCCCUUACGUCCGGGGCGACACACGUGUUACAAUGGUAGCUACAGAGGGAAGCCACCCAGCGAUGGGGCGCGGAUCUCGAAAAGCUAUCUCAGUUCGGGCUGGAGUCUGCAACCCGACUCCACGAAGCUGGAUUCGCUAGUAAUCGCGCAUCAGCCAUGGCGCGGUGAAUACGUUCCCGGGCCUUGUACACACCGCCCGUCAAGCCAUGAAAGCCGGGGGUGCCUGAAGUUCGUGACCGCAAGGAGCGACCUAGGGCAAAACUGGUAAUUGGGGCU
rnacentral:rRNA from 1 species